GAUUUCAACUGAAAAAGUCAUCAACAACAAAGUUUUAUAACUCAUCAAGAUCUAUAAUUUUUAUUUUGGUCAUUUCUUCAUCCGACAAAGUGAUAGUAACAUUGUUCACAAAAUUCACAUAUCUCUCCUCUGGCUAUUUUGUGAACAAUGUUAUUAACACUUUGUCAGAUGAAGAAAUAACAAAAAUAAAAGUUAUAGAUCUUGAUGAGUUAUACAACUUUGUUGUUGAUGACUUUUUUAGUUGUAAUC
rnacentral:pre_miRNA from 1 species